rnacentral:lncRNA from 1 species
AGGAUUCCUAAAGCCCUACGGGUCUGAGCAAGGACGGUGCUCUGCGUUUGCCUCCCUUCCCCCAGCCCGCCUGAGAGGGUUUGCUGGGGCAGGGUGGCCCCCGGGACGGGUUCCAGACAGUUCCAGGCGCUCGGGUUCGCAGCUGUGCUACCCCCGCCGCCCGGGACGCCCCGUCCCCGCCAGGGCCCUCUCACUGUAGCUUUAAGGAGGGCUGGGGCCGGGUGCAGCGGCACCUGGAGUCUCGGUGGAACCCGGCAGCGGUGGGCGCGGACCCCGGAGAGGCCGCCCCGAGCCCGAGCACCCCCUGACCAGGCGCUCACCAAGGGUGUUGGGACAAGCAGCGGAGCCUGCGGGCUGGAGCCAGGCUUGGACCCUCCGCGCCGGGGCGGGCGGCCGAGCGGACGCAGCUGGCAGUGGCGGCGGGAGAGCGCCCCGGACCCGCCCGGAGCCCAACCCCGUGGCACUUCGGCUGGCUAGGGAGCGGCGCUGGGGACAAGGCCGGGCCUUCUGCAACGAGCGCCUGCGUGGGACUCCAGGGGCCGGCGCCCCGCUCCGCUCCCCACAGGCCUCAACCCCGCUGGCUACCCGCGCUGAAACCUCACCUGCCGCCGGCUGCAAACGGACGGCGCUCCAGCUUUUGCUGAAGACACUGUCCCCCGCCCCCGCCUCCACGCCAGCGGCAGAGAAGAGAUCCAGGCUGGCCCCGCUCCUGGUUGGUGGGCAGGGCAAGCUGGAGGGGGGGGCAGGUACUAAGUGUUGCUGUGGAAAUAAAAAUCAUUGUAACAGGA